rnacentral:rRNA from 1 species
AGUGAACGCUGGCGGUAGGCCUAACACUUGCAAGUCGAACGGCAGCACAGUAAGAGCUUGCUCUUACGGGUGGCGAGUGGCGGACGGGUGAGGAAUACAUCGGAAUCUACUUUUUCGUGGGGGAUAACGUAGGGAAACUUACGCUAAUACCGCAUACGACCUACGGGUGAAAGCAGGGGAUCUUCGGACCUUGCGCGAUUGAAUGAGCCGAUGUCGGAUUAGCUAGUUGGCGGGGUAAAGGCCCACCAAGGCGACGAUCCGUAGCUGGUCUGAGAGGAUGAGCGGCCACACUGGAACUGAGACACGGUCCAGACUCCUACGGGAGGCAGCAGUGGGGAAUAUUGGACAAUGGGCGCAAGCCUGAUCCAGCCAUGCCGCGUGGGUGAAGAAGGCCUUCGGGUUGUAAAGCCCUUUUGUUGGGAAAGAAAAGCAGCAGGUUAAUACCCCGCUGUUCUGACGGUACCCAAAGAAUAAGCACCGGCUAACUUCGUG